AUAACAUGUGUGCGAGUCAAUGGGUCUCGAAUAAGCCCAGAGGCGCAAUGAAAGCGAAGGCCGGAGGACUCCGGCCGUGUCGGGAUCCCCGCUCCUUUGAGUGUGCGGGGCGCACCGAAGACCCGCCCUGAUCCGCUCGCGGAUGAUGUGGAGUUUGAGCGCACACGUUGUGACCCGAAAGAUGGUGAACUAUGCCCGGACAGGACGAGGCCAGAGGAAACUCUGGUGGAGGUCCGUAGCGGUUCUGACGUGCAAAUCGAUCGUCAGAUCUGGGUCUAGGGGCGAAAGACUAAUCGAACCAUCU
rnacentral:rRNA from 1 species